rnacentral:rRNA from 1 species
AGAGUUUGAUCCUGGCUCAGAUUGAACGCUGGCGGCAUGCCUUACACAUGCAAGUCGAACGGCAGCGCGGGGCAACCUGGCGGCGAGUGGCGAACGGGUGAGUAAUAUAUCGGAACGUACCCUGGAGUGGGGGAUAACGUAGCGAAAGUUACGCUAAUACCGCAUACGAUCUAAGGAUGAAAGUGGGGGAUCGCAAGACCUCAUGCUCCUGGAGCGGCCGAUAUCUGAUUAGCUAGUUGGCGGGGUAAAAGCCCACCAAGGCAACGAUCAGUAGCUGGUCUGAGAGGACGACCAGCCACACUGGAACUGAGACACGGUCCAGACUCCUACGGGAGGCAGCAGUGGGGAAUUUUGGACAAUGGGCGCAAGCC